rnacentral:misc_RNA from 1 species
UACAGAGGUCCCAAGCGUUGUUCGGAUUCACUGGGCGUAAAGGGUGCGUAGGCGGUCGGGUAAGUCUGAUGUGAAAGCUCGGAGCUCAACUCCGAAAAGGCAUUGGAUACUAUCUGGCUUGAGGAUCGGAGGGGAGACUGGAAUUCUUGGUGUAGCAGUGAAAUGCGUAGAUAUCAAGAGGAACACCGGUGGCGAAGGCGAGUCUCUGGACGAUCACUGACGCUGAGGCACGAAAGCUAGGGGAGCAAACAGG